GAUGAAGAACGCAGCGAAAUGCGAUACGUAAUGUGAAUUGCAGAGUUCAGUGAAUCAUCGAAUCUUUGAACGCAUAUUGCGCUCUCUGGUAUUCCGGAGAGCAUGCUUGUUUGAGUAUCAGUAAACACCUCAACUUCCAUAUCUUUUUUGAAAUGGGAGUUGGACUUGAGUGAUCCCAACGCUUUUCCUCACCGAAAAGUGGCGGGUUACUUGAAAUGCAGGUGCAGCUGGACUUUUCUCUGAGCUAUAAGCAUAUCUAUUUAGUCUGCCUAAAAAACAGAUUAUUACCUUUGCUGCAGCUAACAUAAAGGAGAUUAGUUCUUGUGCUGACUGAUGCAGGAUUCACAAAGACAGCUUCGGCCGACUUUGUAAACUCGAUCUCAAAUCAAGUAAGACUACCCGCUGAACUUAAGCAUAUCAAUAAGCGGAGGA
rnacentral:misc_RNA from 1 species